CGGUAGCAAUACGUCAGCGGCAGACGGGUGAGUAACACGUGGGAACGUACCUUUGGUUCGGAACAACUGAGGGAAACUUCAGCUAAUACCGGAUAAGCCCUAACGGGGAAAGAUUUAUCGCCGAAAGAUCGGCCCGCGUCUGAUUAGCUAGUUGGUGAGGUAAUGGCUCACCAAGGCGACGAUCAGUAGCUGGUCUGAGGGGAUGAUCAGCCACACUGGGACUGAGACACGGCCCAG
rnacentral:rRNA from 1 species